UACGAAGGGUGCAAGCGUUACUCGGAAUUACUGGGCGUAAAGCGUGCGUAGGCGGUUUGUUAAGUCCGUUGUGAAAGCCCUGGGCUCAACCUGGGAAUUGCAGUGGAUACUGGCGAGCUAGAGUGCGGUAGAGGAUGGUGGAAUUCCCGGUGUAGCGGUGAAAUGCGUAGAGAUCGGGAGGAACACCGGUGGCGAAGGCGGCCAACUGGACCAUUUCUGACGCUGAGGCGCGAAAGCGUGGGGAGCAAACAGG
rnacentral:rRNA from 1 species